rnacentral:rRNA from 1 species
GACGUAGGGCGCGAGCGUUGUCCGGAUUUAUUGGGCGUAAAGAGCUCGUAGGCGGCUUGUCGCGUCGUCCGUGAAAACCUGGGGCUCAACCCCAGGCUUGCGGUCGAUACGGGCAGGCUCGAGUUCGGUAGGGGAGACUGGAAUUCCUGGUGUAGCGGUGAAAUGCGCAGAUAUCAGGAGGAACACCGGUGGCGAAGGCGGGUCUCUGGGCCGAUAUUGACGCUGUGGAGCGAAAGCGUGGGGAGCGAACAGG